UGCAUUAUGUAACAUCAUAUAAAGUAAUCUCCUGCCCAGUGAAAAUUUUUUUAACGGCCGCGGUAUCCUAACCGUGCAAAGGUAGCAUAAUAAUUUGCCCAUUAAUUGUGGGCUUGAAUGAAUGGAGAAACGAAAUAAGGGCUGUCUCAUAAAUUUCUAUAAAAACUAGCUUAUAAGUGAAGAGACUUAUAUAAUAUUAAAGGACAAGAAGACCCUAUAGAGCUUUAUUAUCAUCUUAUUCAAUAUAAAAUAUAAUUAGGUUGGGGCGACCAUGGAUAAAAUCAUCCACAAUUACAAAGAUAUACAUAUCAAUCAAAAGAUCCAAAAAAAUGAUUAUAGAAUCAAGCUACCUUAGGGAUAACAGGCUAAUCUUAUUAAAGAGUUCAUAUCGACAAUAAGGAUUGGCACCUCGAUGUUGGCUUAGAAUAUCUCUAUAGCGCAAAAGUUAUAAGAAGAAGGUUUGUUCAACCUUUAAUAUUC
rnacentral:rRNA from 1 species